UAUCGUCUCCCUCAAGGCAAGUAAAAUCUGAGAGAUGGAGAUAGAAAAUCCAGGAAUGGCUACUGAAUUAAGAAGGAGCAAGAAAGGACAAAACAAGUGUUUUUAGGAAGGUGGCAACACCUCCGGUUGGUCUAAAGGAUCUAUGGGGAAGCAGCUGCAGACCCAGUUCACUGCUCCAGGGUCCUGCCACAGCCAUAAGUCUAGAAAUGACCCAGAUCCUCAAACAGAGUUUUCCUGUGUCCCAGGAAGAGUUGCCCACUGGCCAGUUUCCUCACCUUCAGCUCAUCAGGCAAAGCGGGGAAGAAGGCAGGCUGGAGUGCCUGGAAAGGACAGAGAGGAGGCAUCCAGGUGGAGGGAGAAGAGAUCCUUACAGGACCAACUAGAGAGACAGGACAUCAUCAGGCACCAUCUUGACAUCUCUGCUGGCCUCGGCAGUUUGGAAACUGAAAAACGAAGAGACAAGCAGCUGUGGGCAAAGGAAGUAGGUGGGGUGGUAGGCACGGGCUUUGGAUAAGUUGCCUAGCCCCCUUAGGAGUGCUCUCCUCACCUCCAUUCCCACCUGCAGGGGAGGAGGAGCUGCCAGCCUGCUGGGAAGGCUGCUUGGUGGAGUAGGAGGGGCCAGGGCUACUGGCAGACAUCCUGAGUUCAAACCCGCUAUUGACCCUGGGAUUUUGAGUAGUCACUAAUUUCUGCCUCAGUUUCCUUAUUCGUAAAACAAAGCUGUAAUCCCUGAUCUCACAGGAUUAUUGUGAAGAUUAAAGAGAUAAUGUAUCAGAAAACUCUUGGCCAGAUGCAGUGACUCAUCCCCAUAAUCCCAGCACUUUGAGAGGCUGAGGUAGGCAGAUAGCUUGAUCCCAGGAGUUCCUGACCAGCCUGGGCAACAUGGUGAAACCCUGUCUCUACAAAAAAUACAAAAAUUAGCCAGUCACGGUGACACGCAUCUGUAGUCCCAGCUACUCAGGAGGCUGAGGUGGGAGUACCACCUGAGCCUGGGAGGUCGAGGCUGCAAUAAGAUUGUGGCACUGCAUUCCAGCCUGGGUGACAGAGUAGGAUUCUGUCUAAAAAAAAGAGAGACAGAGAGAGAGAGGGAAGAAAGGAAAGGAAAAAGGAAAGGAAAGGAAAGGAAAGGAAAGGAAAGGAAAGGAAAGGAAAGGAAAGGAAAGGAAAGGAAAGCCUUCAUAAACUGCAAAUAUAAAUUAAAGGUGGUAUGAUUACGCCACUAAACCAAUCUUCCCAAAUACAAAAAUUAAGUCUGACUUUCCUUCACCAUGCCCUGCCCCCACCACUGUAACUCCAUGGACAUGAUCGUGUGUCAAGACCAACACUGAGUAUCUGCAUUUCUCCCAGUUCCAGUGGUCUGUAAACUCAUAGGACGGGUCUUAGCCAUUUGAUGUCCCUAGUAACCUGUAGUGUCAGAUGCUCAAUAUGCCUUGAAUAAACAUUGAGUGAAUAAAUGUAAGGUGGGAAGCAUGGAGGAGGUCAGUCUGAAGGAAAAGGUGAAAAGGUAAGAGUGGGCUAGAUCUCUAGAAAAUUUUACAUGCUCUUGGAAAUCAGGAAGAACAAUUAGAGGCACUGGAUUAACUGGAGUGCACCUCCUUAAGUCUUUUGGCUCAAAUGUCAACAACCAGAAUUCACUUGGAGUAGAGUGAGCUUCAGGGAUGCUUAAUUUAGCAAGGCUGAAUUCAGCUUUGGUGGUCUUUCCUUAGUGGCAGGGAAGGGGUGCCCUGCUGAGCUGCAGGGAGCAGUGAUAUAUUAGGAAUAUCUAGAUUUGGGAACCUUUCAAAAGAUGCAUGUCCUUGUCUUACACCCAAACAAAGCUGAUAGAGCCAAAAUUCAAAGAAACAGUUCUUCCUAGUCCCUGAAAAAAAGUGAAACAUCUAUCCAUCUAUUAAAAAUUUGCUAGGUCCCUGCUGUGUGCUGUACUAGGUGCUGGAGUGCCAUAAAAGGAAUCACACUCGAGGCUGAUCACAAGACUUCUUUUCCACUUGGAAGAAGCUCAUGGGAGCCAGCACUGAUGCAGGUCCAGGCCUGGGGAAAGCAUAUGCCCCCAAGACCCAUCAAGCUUGUCCCUGCCAUCUCUCUCCAUCAUUCUAGCUUCGCCCUAGCUUGUGGGUACCACGGGUACCUAUUUCCAGGAACCCAGGGAAUUCCUUUUGACCUUGCUGGGAAACUGCAAAUCACCCAACAGGAGCUUAGCUGUGCAGCCAACAUUUGGAACUACUCAAUAGCUUUCUGGAGUCAACAAAUAAGGAAAUAAUUUCUUUAGGAUAAAAAAAUGUUUUGUUUUAGUAAAGGGUAAUGGCACUCCAUUGCGAAUGGAAACUGUUCUCCCCUUGGUUUAAGUGGAGCCCAUUUGUCAGCACUGCUUGAGGCCUGCGAAGUGACCAUCUAGGUAUUUUUCUCAAGUGAAGAAUGAUCUGAGGACAUCUUCGCCACUGGGUCCCUCUUACUCAUGUGACUUCCAAGUUUUCUGGUGGUAAAGUUGGAGGCAGAGAGAGCAUGCCCCUGAAUUGGACAGUAGAGUGUCCUUCAGCUGAUAGAAGAUCACUUCAGGGCAGGUGGAGCAGCCACAGAAGAAAAUGGUAAUUACUCAACUGCUCGUGCACCUCAUUUUGAAUCUAUCCUGCUCUUCAGCUCUUUCUGCACAUAAAGGAAGAGGCUCCUUGUCAUUUGAAAAGAUUGCACCAAAGUGGCAGUGUUGACAGAGCCUUCCCUGUCAAAGCCACUUUCUCAAUACAUUUAAUUAGCAAGGGCUUCCAAGGGCCCCCUGCCAGCCCAACACAGGCCUGGAUGACACCUGAGUGAGGUUGCCACAGUCCCAGCCAAACCCCUUCAAGCUCCAUUUUUAGAUGUACUACAACCAGCUAGCUUUCAGCAAGUUCCCCUCCCGCCCCUUUGCCCAAUGCUGGUCAGCUGGGCAGCUUGACUGUGAAGCCUUUCUUUCCAGGCCAUGGGGAAAGAACCAAAGGAAGCUGCUUUCUCUCAUGCAUACAGUAUUUUUGAACAAAGAGGCCUGUAUGCAUUGCAACAACAGCGUCUCUAGAUCCUGAGCGUGGGCCCCGCUUGGCAGAGGGUCAGCAGCAUGGUGGAGGGCAUGCAUUGGAAUACAGAUUGCCACCAAGCCUUUGGGGCCAUGCCCAUCAUGUGGCUGGGCCUGGCUCUGGCAGCCCGACAUUCAGCUGCCAACAGCUUGCAGGCCUGUUUGCUGCAUGGCCAGCAUCCUGUUUGGUGAUUUGAUGAGAGUCCCAGGCUCUCUUUGCAUAUCAGAACACUGGUCUCCGUGCACCUCGCGUGGGAUGACUGUAUCUGGACAACUGAGAUGUUCCUUGCCAUUGAUUAAAUGCUUAGCAAGCUCAGAAAAUACAGCUGGAAACUCCUUGGAGCCCUCCGCCUACUGCUCUUCAUCCACAGCCUCUCCCUGCAAAGCGGGG
rnacentral:lncRNA from 1 species